AAAUCGUGCAUUGGGCAUUUACGCAGUAAGUCCUUAAAACGAUCUCAUGCCUUAUACAAGUUUUCAUCCUCCAAUUGCUUGAAAGAUGUCAGAUCAUUCCUUAGUUU